GGCAGUAGCAAAUAUUCAAAUGAGAACUUUGAAGGCUGAAGCGGGGAAGGUUCCAUGUGAACAACACUUGAACAUGGGUUAGUUGAUCCUAAGAGAUGGGGAAGCCCUGUAUCAAGGGUGCACUCUGCACAAACAUCGAAAGGGAAUCGGGUUAAUAUUCCUGAACCAGGACAUGGCGGUAGAUGACAACAUUAGGAAAUCUAGAGACGUCGUCGGAGGCCUUGGGAAGAGUUAUCUUUUCUUUUUAACAGCUUGCCCACCCGAAAAUCGGUUCAACCGAAGAUAGGGUCUAGCAGCGAGAAGAGCAUCACACGUCUUACGGUGUCCGGUGCGCCCUCGACGACCCUUGAAAAUCUGGAGGAUCGAGUACCGUCCAUGCUCGGUCGUACUCAUCACUGCUUCAAGUCUCCAAGGUGAACAACCUCUGGUC
rnacentral:ncRNA from 1 species